rnacentral:rRNA from 1 species
GACGUAGGGUCCGAGCGUUGUCCGGAGUUACUGGGCGUAAAGGGCGCGUAGGCGGUUAUCUGCGUCACACGUGAAAGCCCCUGGCUCAACCAGGGAGGGUCGUGUGAAACGGGGUAACUGGAGGCAGAGAGAGGCUGGUGGAAUUCCCGGAGUAGUGGUGAAAUGCGUAGAGAUCGGGAGGAACACCGGUGGCGAAGGCGGCCAGCUGGCUCUGACCUGACGCUGAGGCGCGAAGGCGUGGGGAGCGAACGGGG